ACCGCGAGACCUAGCUCCCUCCCUCUUUCCGACCGGCGAACCACCGCACGGGACCGGCGAGAGGACCGCGAGCAAUCGACGAACCACUACACGGGACUGGCGAGAGGACCGCGACCUCCCCUCUCUCUGCCCUCCCUCUUUCCGACCGGCGAACCACCGCGAGCAAAUCAGAUGUUUUUGUAGAGAUCUCCCAUCGUCGCCUUCAUCUUCUUUUCCCCCCUUUUUUUGUUUUGUUGGUUUUUUCCCCUAGUGUUCUGAUGAUGGAUCUGGAGUUGCAUAUGCUCGACGGCUUCUUCGGCGACCUCCCUGAGGCCAGCGACGUCAUCGGCGCUUGCUCCUCGACGAACGCGUUGUCAUCGUCUCCAGACUCGGGGCUCUCGUGGUUCAUCGAGAACAUCCUGAUGAAGGACAACGAGGACGGCAGAGUUGCCGGUGGCGGGAUUAGGGCUGAUUCGAGCCAGGAGUUCUGCGAUAGGUUCCUCGCUGACGUGCUCGUUGACUCCCCGGAGAUGGGUCCGCGGAGAUAGCUGACGGGUCCGGCGACAAGGAGGAGCCUGGAUCGUCAUCCGACGGCUGGGUCGAGGCUGCGAAGGUUGAUGGGGCUAACGUUGGUGGUGAAGCCUAUGAUCCUGCUUCUAAGAAGCUCAGGAGACGGCUCAUGGUCUCCACCUUCUACAAUUUCUUCAUGUGGAAUAGGGUGGGGAGCAAAGGCUGGAGGAGAAUUGACAGACUUCGUUAUGGUGUUGAGAACAACUGAGGCUGUGAAGACAUUUGGUGGUACUGCUCAUUUUUCAGUUGGGGCUAGUUUGAGUGCAGUAGUUGGUCCCAUUGGAAGGGCUGCUGAAGCUGAUGUAUGAGCGGGGGAUGGUGGCUGUUCUGCUUGUUAUACGUACAGCUACAGUAAAGGUGCUUUUGUUGGAUGCUCCCUUCAAGGCAGUGUGGUGACAACGCCGACAAGAGAAAAUUGCCAAUUUUAUGGCAGCCG